CAGCACCAGUAGACCCAAAUUUAAAAGAAGACAGAAACACAUCACAAUUAAAAAUAAAGGUUCCCCAUCAUUUCCAAUAGGAACAACUUCCUCACGUUCAAGAACAGGAGGAGGAGGAUUGCUAUUACUCUGCUCAUCAACAAUUUCAGGUUGCCACCAGCCGACGAUACUUUCACAGCCUCAGCAUAGAAACACUUCACAGGUAAGUCUUUUUCUUUUACAGGUAUAUCAUCAAACUGCUCCAUCACUAAACUUGGAUUAGAGUCCAGGAGCACACAAGAGUCCUCCAUCCUCAGUCCAGUCCACGAGAACAGCUCGGAAUUCGAAGGCAGGAAAUCUCCUUCACAGAGAUGACGGAGUGAUAGGGCCGUACAGCCCAGAACAGGUGAUAGUGCACUAAAGUGCGCUAGCCUGAACAUUAGAACGAUGACAACACAGGUAUAACAGGGUCCUUCCGAUGAAUACACACACAACCACGGCAUGGUGUGCCGGAGACCCCGUCGGUGAGUACGAUGGGGGUGCCCAUAGGGAUGACACCCCGCGCUUCGGGACGAACCUGCUCAGUAAAACUGACGCAGAGGUCCCUAACGCAAAAAAAGAUGGAAACAAACAGACAAAAUCGUACUCACUAAGAACACCAGAUGACCAAACUUCCGAGCACACCUUCGAAUAAGUAACGUUGCCGCUGUGGAGCUAAAAAGUAGAAAAAAAGCACUAAAUUAAUAGCAGAUAUUAACAGCUAAAUGACCUUUUGGCACAACAGA
rnacentral:lncRNA from 1 species